rnacentral:rRNA from 1 species
CGAAGGGGGCUAGCGUUGCUCGGAUUGACUGGGCGUAAAGGGCGCGUAGGCGGUUUGUACAGUCAGACGUGAAAUUCCUGGGCUCAACCUGGGGGCUGCGUUUGAUACGUGCAGACUUGAGUUCGGAAGAGGGUCGUGGAAUUCCCAGUGUAGAGGUGAAAUUCGUAGAUAUUGGGAAGAACACCGGUGGCGAAGGCGGCGACCUGGUCCGAUACUGACGCUGAGGCGCGAAAGCGUGGGGAGCAAACAGGAUUAGAUACCCUGGUAGUCCACGCUGUAAACGAUGUGCGCUGGAUGUUGGGUGACAUAGUCAUUCAGUGUCGUAGCUAACGCGAUAAGCGCACCGCCUGGGGAGUACGGCCGCAAGGUUG